AUUUUUAUUUAUUUAUUUUUUGAAUCCUCCUCUCCACCUCCGCUGGUAAGCAGUCCUUCUACCUCCUACAGUGGCAGCAUCACCUCGUAAGCUCCUCGAUGUCUCAGAACACAUCACCUGAACGUCUCCGCAGUAGGAAACCACGAAGGAGCGUUGGGGAGGGGAUUGCGGGAAAACCCAAGUGGAGAACUAAUAAAACUCUUGUUAGAGGGCCUGCUCGGGAUCCGUGGCGUCACUGGGCCUUUUGCUCGGAAAGCCAAAGAGUUGUAUUCCUAAAUGAGUUAAAGACCCAUUUACCUCUGUCGUGUUCUAUUCAUCAAGCCCUAAGUUGAGAGUUCCUAACAUGAAACUAUUUGUUUGCUUACACAACCAGCUGGGCGCAAUUUCACGUCUGAGAUAUCUAUCUGAAAGCGCCCCUCAUUUAUUAUCUCUCCUUGUCAGCGAAUCCAUUUUCCAGCUCCCCUCCCCCCUUGAACUUUAUUUAUUUAUUUAGGGGGUGGGGGGGGCACUCCUCUGCCUGGGAGGACCUGGGUCUGGAAGGCUCCCAGGGGACUGGCCGCUCCUACCCGGUGUCUGCGUGGACCAGGGGCGCGGAAGGCUCGUCCGCCGCCACCGCUGACCCCAGCGGCCGGCGGGUGGGCCCUCCCGGAGACGACAGAGCUGCCUUUCUGCCUGGAUGUCCUCCCCGCUGGCUCGUCCCAGAGUCAGCCACAACCACCUGUGCGAGGCAGGGGUGGGCGGAGGCCGGCCCGGGGAGUUCACGAGCCUCUCUCCCGGAGUGGGGGGCCCGAGAUACGAGAUACGAUCCGGAUUUGAGAGAUGCUUUACUCAAAGCCUCACCUAGUCCCGUGGGGCCAAUUUCUUCUCCGGGGGCCCCGGAGCGCGGAUUACUCUCUUCUACUGAUGUGAAGUGACGUCAGCAAGGCCUGUCCUAUCCCCUUGGAGAGAAGGGAGUGAGGAGGAGGGGAUGGAAGGAGGGAGCUGGGAGAAAGAGCUAAAGAAAAAGAGAAAAAGCAAACCGGAGGAACAGAGGACCGCAUGGGAAUGAGUCUUCUACACUCGGGGGCCCCAGUUCCACCAACAGUGGGCAAAACAAUGCUUGCGAAGUCGGGGGUUGGUAGAACACCUUUCUCUCCUCUCCCGCGAUCUACAUAUUCUAACAUAUGGAAAGCUUACAGGCCCCGAGCACUUAUAGAAGCCGAUAAUGCAUUAGCUCUCAGCAAUAUUUACAGCACCACUUUUAAUACACACCAGAUGGUUCGCGACUGUGCCGCCCCAGCCAGCUCACUCCUCGAUUUUACUCGGCGGCACUUUGUUGCAAUUACGCUCCAUGCUGAGACCAAUUUUAUUGGCGACCUAUUUUUCAUAUUUUGUAGCAUUUUAUGUUAAAAAAAAAAAAAAAAACAAA